CCCCGCGCCGCGCCCGUGGCUGCCCGCAGCGCUGCCCGUGCUCCGGGAGCGCCGGGACGGGACCGGGACGGGAACGGGG
rnacentral:pre_miRNA from 1 species